CAGUCGCCGCGGUAAUACGUAGGGUGCAAGCGUUAAUCGGAAUUACUGGGCGUAAAGCGUGCGCAGGCGGUUUGUUAAGACAGAUGUGAAAUCCCCGGGCUCAACCUGGGAACUGCAUUUGUGACUGUAUAGCUAGAGUACGGCAGAGGGGGAUGGAAUUCCGCGUGUAGCAGUGAAAUGCGUAGAUAUUCGGAGGAACACCGAUGGCGAAGGCAAUCCCCUGGGCCUGUACUGACGCUCAUGCACGAAAGCGUGGGGAGCAAACAGGAUUAGAUACCCCCGUAGUCCCUGUCUCUUAUAC
rnacentral:rRNA from 1 species